rnacentral:rRNA from 1 species
GACGUAGGGCGCGAGCGUUGUCCGGAUUUAUUGGGCGUAAAGAGCUCGUAGGCGGCUUGUUGCGUCGGCUGUGAAAACCCAUGGCUCAACCGUGGGCUUGCAGCCGAUACGGGCAGGCUAGAGUUCGGUAGGGGAGACUGGAAUUCCUGGUGUAGCGGUGAAAUGCGCAGAUAUCAGGAAGAACACCCGUGGCGAAGGCGGCUCUCUGGAACGCAACUGACGCUGAGACGCGAAAGCGUGGGGAGCAAACAGG